UACGGAGGGGGCUAGCGUUGUUCGGAAUUACUGGGCGUAAAGCGCACGUAGGCGGCUUUGUAAGUUAGAGGUGAAAGCCCCGGAGCUCAACUCCGGAACUGCCUUUAAGACUGCAUCGCUAGAACGAUGGAGAGGUAAGUGGAAUUCCGAGUGUAGAGGUGAAAUUCGUAGAUAUUCGGAAGAAACACCAGUGGCGAAGGCGAACUUACUGGACAUCUGUUGACGCUGAGGUGCGAAAGCGUGGGGAGCAAACAGG
rnacentral:rRNA from 1 species